CGUCAACUGCACGCGAAUAAAAAAUCCCAUGGCACUCGCCCUGGAAAUUCCAGGCUGGAAUAUACUAUUUCGAGGUUCGGUGCACCGCACAGAGCGUUUUCCGUAUUUAUUUUUUCGAUAUCUAAAAUUUCGUCGGAUGGAUUAUAGCAUAUGACGAUACAAGUGAAGAAAGUUAUUGACGAGUAUGAGGGUUACAGGCCGAACCGAAAGCGAGAUCUAUAAUCACAUUCGUUAAGAAGUUCAUUUUUUCAUAUGUAACGUACGAUAUUUGAUACUACUGGUGAAAAAAAGCGGUUGUUUGCGCACGAAACGUGCAAAAAAGUGCCCUUUUUUUCGCUUGUACCAUAAAAGUACUUUAUGUCACACGGCCAUAAAAGCAUUAUCUGGCGAAUGUGAGUUUAUAAUCCGAGCCGAAAUACUAUUUCUCCACUGGUGGAGGAGAAGAGAAUUAAAAAACAAGAGGUCUCAGGGUACACCAACGUUAAAAGGGUCAAAAUCCCUUAUUGGAUUGAAAAUGAGGAGGAAAAAUGGUUCGAUAAACAAGUUGAGGGAAAUUGUGAUGAGAGGGGAAGAGACAAUUUAUUUUAUUGGUGCAACACAUAAAAAUGGAAGUUUACACUGAUUCACCAAGUAGAAAAGUUGUCUAGCACUUGAGGGGCACCUUUCCUCUUCUUUCUUGAGGGUCCUUCCAUCUUUGAAGAUCUGGAAAAUGAAAGAAUCAUGGAAUUCACUUCGAAUUAGAAACUGCUGAUCCCGAAAAUAUCAAUUAUUGAUACGUCAGUAACGUGACGUUUCAUUAGAAUUGCCGAUGAUUACAAUAAUAGCCUAUAUUGGAAUGCACUGCUUGGAUGAAUAACUAAAUAAAUAAAUAAAAUUAUCUUUUGAA